AUUGAACGCUGGCGACAGGCCUAACACAUGCACGUAGAACGAGUGGCGGACGGGUGAGUAAUGUCUGGGAAACUGCCUGAAGGCGGGGGAUAACGACUGGAAACGGUAGCUAAUACCGCAUACCAUCAGAUGUGUCCAGAUGGGAUUAGCUUGUUGGUGGGGUAACGGCUCACCAAGGCGACGAUCCCUAGCUGGUAUGAGAGGAUGACCAGCCACACUGGAACGUAGACACGGUCCAGACACAUACGGGAGGCAUCAGUGGUGGAUAUUGCACAAGGGGCGCAAGCCUGAUGCAGCCAUGCCGCGUGUAUGAAGAAGGCCAUCGGGUUGUAAAGUACUUUCAGCGGGGAGGCGUUACCCGCAGAAGAAGCACCGGCUAACUCCGUGCCAGCAGCCGCGGUAAUAC
rnacentral:rRNA from 1 species